AGCAGCCGCGGUAAUUCCAGCUCCAAUAGCGUAUAUUAAAGUUGUUGCAGUUAAAAAGCUCGUAGUUGAAUUUCGAGAUUGAUUUAUUGGUCGUGCUUUUGUACGUACUGGUAUAAUUGAUUUCUCCUUUCUGACGAACUAUAAUGUCAUUAAUUUGGUGUUAUGGGAAAUCAGGACUGUUACUUUGAAAAAAUUGAGUGUUUAAAGCAGGCUCACGCUUGAAUCAUUAGCAUGGAAUAACGGAAUAGGACGUUUGAUUCUAUUUUGUUGGUUUCUAGGAUCGACGUAAUGAUUAAUAGGGAUAGUUGGGGGCAUUAGUAUUCAAUUGUCAGAGGUGAAAUUCUUGGAUUUAUUGAAGACUAACUACUGCGAAGCAUUUGCCAAGGAUGUUUUCAUUAUCAAGAACGAAGUUAGGGAUCGAAGACGAUCAGAUACCGUCGUAGUCUUAACAUAAACUAUAGACCGACUAGGGAUCGGAUGGAUGUUAAUUUUAUGUACUUCAUUCGGCUACCUUACGGUA
rnacentral:rRNA from 1 species